GGUUCAAUGGUUGAGGACGAAGUGACGAGUGAACUCUCUGUGCGUU
rnacentral:sRNA from 1 species